AUUGAACGCUGGCGGCAUGCUUUACACAUGCAAGUCGAACGGUAACAGGCCGCAAGGUGCUGACGAGUGGCGAACGGGUGAGUAAUGCAUCGGAACGUGCCCAGUCGUGGGGGAUAACGCAGCGAAAGCUGCGCUAAUACCGCAUACGAUCUCUGGAUGAAAGCGGGGGACCGAAAGGCCUCGCGCGAUUGGAGCGGCCGAUGUCAGAUUAGGUAGUUGGUGGGGUAAAGGCCCACCAAGCCAACGAUCUGUAGCUGGUCUGAGAGGACGACCAGCCACACUGGGACUGAGACACGGCCCAGACUCCUACGGGAGGCAGCAGUGGGGAAUUUUGGACAAUGGGCGCAAGCCUGAUCCAGCAAUGCCGCGUGCAGGAAGAAGGCCUUCGGGUUGUAAACUGCUUUUGUACGGAACGAAACGGUCCGGGUUAAUACCCUGGGCUAAUGACGGUACCGUAAGAAUAAGCACCGGCUAACUACGUGCCAGCAGCCGCGGUAAGAC
rnacentral:rRNA from 1 species